AUUGAACGCUGGCGGCAUGCUUUACACAUGCAAGUCGAACGGCAGCGCGGGCUUCGGCCUGGCGGCGAGUGGCGAACGGGUGAGUAAUACAUCGGAACGUGCCCAGUAGUGGGGGAUAGCUCGGCGAAAGCCGGAUUAAUACCGCAUACGACCUGAGGGUGAAAGCGGGGGAUCCUCGGACCUCGCGCUAUUGGAGCGGCCGAUGGCAGAUUAGCUAGUUGGUGGGGUAAAGGCCUACCAAGGCGACGAUCUGUAGCUGGUCUGAGAGGACGACCAGCCACACUGGGACUGAGACACGGCCCAGACUCCUACGGGAGGCAGCAGUGGGGAAUUUUGGACAAUGGGCGAAAGCCUGAUCCAGCAAUGCCGCGUGUGUGAUGAAGGCCUUCGGGUUGUAAAGCACUUUUGGCGGGAACGAAAAGGACUGUGCCAAUACCACGGUUCGAUGACGGUACCCGCAGAAUAAGCACCGGCUAACUACGUG
rnacentral:rRNA from 1 species